GGUCACAUUGAUGUCUUAUGUAAAUUUAAAAGGCACGUACCAGCAAGAAACAAAUACAAACACUUUUACAUUUCAGAUGGUUCUUUCUUCCACUUUGGGAAAUUUUACAUAAACUUUAAGUAAAUUCCUUGAGCAUGAACGUUUCCAGCAAUUUAACCUUGGGGGGAGGUUGUUUUGAAGAGGAAACGUGACUAGCGAUAUAAGGUAACGACGUGACAUUGGGAGAGAGCAAGUGAACGAUAACAUAGCUAAACGACAAAGGUAGACAGGGAGGUGAGCUUGGUCCAGACCCUUAGUAGCUGUCAGCUGAUUGAGAGCACUCCAUUGUCCGGAGGUGCUUAUGAUUCUUCUUUUGGUAUAUAUGCAUAUUUUGGGCACGACGGAGUCUUGUUUCGUCUAUAUGUUUAGUAUGUCAGUAGAGGCUCGUAGAUACGCAGUGUGGGUCAGAUGGUCUCACAAGAUGUUAUUAUUAUGUAUAUAUUAUUUUGAUGGCCGAGAGGCAAAUGUAUAUAAGUAUUUAUGUUUCUAUAUAAAAUAUGAUUUUCCUACAAUUCGUGUAUAAAAUUGGUAAAAGAGCACUAAAUGAGUAAGAUGAUUAUUAG